rnacentral:rRNA from 1 species
CCCUUAGAUGUUCUGGGCUGCACGCGCGCUACAAUGAUGAACUCAACGAGUUUAUAUCAUUUACUUGAUAGUUUGCUGUAUUGGAAAAUAUGGCUAAUCUUAAACGUUCAUCGUGCUUGGGAUAGAUGAUUGAAAUUAUUUAUCUUGAACCAGGAAUUCCUAGUAAUCGUAUAUCAUCAGUGUGCGAUGAUUACGUCCCUGCCCCUUGUACACACCGCCCGUCGCUGCUACCGAUUGGAUGAUCCGGUGAAAUCCUCGGAUAAUAGCAAAUACCUUACUUUUUGUAAGGUUUGCCGUUAGAAGUUGAUUAAACCUUAUCAUCUAGAGGAAGCAAAANUCGUAACA